CUGUCCCAGUUUUACAUGGAAUGACCCUGUUACAAAUAGGUACUAAGAAUUUUAUUUUAUCAGUUUUUAGUAAAUUAUGUUUUACUAUUUAGUUUUUAGUAAGUUCUCAUGUCUUCUAUAUUAGGUUUUAGUAAAUUAUAAUGCUUUAUUAUUUAGUUUGUAUACUAUACUUUUUUUGGUCUUUUAAAUAGUGAUUUUUACUCAUUAGUUGUGUCUGGUUUGGUAUUAGUUAAUGCAGGUGACAGCAUUGCACUUUAUAUUCAAUCUCUUGCUGGUCCAUCUUAUACAAUAAGUAAAGACAGCUUUAUGUCAAUUGUUUUUAUUAGCUAUACCAAUGAUUUAUAUUUAUUUGGAAUGCAGUUAAUGCUAGAUCCAACACUUGAUCAACAGCAGAGCGCUUCUGAUUGAUCUAAAGUUAAAUAUUGACAGAGCAACUGGGUGAGUGGUGUUUUCAGCAGUGGAAAUCUUCUAAAACUGGAUUCAGUCAUGGGUACAGUAACAGUUCAAGAGACCCUAUUCUAUUUUUUUGACACUAUUCAUAAGGUUGAUAUGCGACACUGUUCCUUUUUUUUUGCGACAUUAAUCAUUUUUAAUAUAUUCGCCGCUAUUCUGAAGUUCAUUUUUCAAUACUAAUCCUGUCACCCCUAUUUAAGUUAUUAUUGAGCGUUCUAAAGCCCUCACAAAAAAUGGUAUUAUACAAGACUAAAAAAUUGGAAUGUAACAAUGUUUACUGUUCUUGGUGUUGAUGGAGAAGGACUUAACCAAAUGGAUGGAGUGAAUAUUAUUUUUUGAAAUGAAUUGUAUUUAAUAUCAAGUACUUUGGUUAUCAAAACAAAUGAAAGUUUCCAUAGGGUUUGUUAAUUUGUUUUUAUUAUUUUUUAAAUUCUUUUUAUUAUUUUGUUUAUCAGAUUUCUGUUGAUGAAUAAAUAGUAACAAGAAAUAUGAAAGAUG